CCUACGGGUGGCAACAGUGAGGAAUAUUGGUCAAUGGUCGGGAGACUGAACCAGCCACGCCGCGUGAGGGAUGAAGGUCCUGAGUAUUGUAAACCUCUUUUGUCAGGGAACAAAGGCGGGGACGCGUCUCCGGAUGAGCGUACCUGAAGAAAAAGCAUCGGCUAACUCCGUGCGAGCAGCCGCGGUAAUACGGAGGAUGCGAGCGUUAUCCGGAUUUAUGGGGUGUAAAGGGUGCGCAGGCGGACGAUAAAGUCAGCGGUCAAAGCCCGGGGCUCAACACCGGCCCGCCGUUGAAACUGGCAGUCUCGAGUUGGAGAGAAGUAUGCGGAAUGCGCGGUGUAGCGGUGAAAUGCAUAGAUAUCACGCAGAACUCCGAUGGCGAAGGCAGCAUGCCGGCUCCACACUGACGCUGAGGCACGAAAGCGUGGGUAGCAAACAGGAUUAGAUACCCUGGUAGUC
rnacentral:rRNA from 1 species